rnacentral:lncRNA from 11 species
UGCCUUCUCCCUUUCUGUCUUUGCAUAACCAGACUCUCCCUUUCGCCCCUGAGGCGGUCAGCGGCUGAAUGUCCAUCUGGCUCCGGUCCAGCGGCAUCAUGGGCCCUGUCGAACAGCAGCAGCUGGGGGGUCGGAUGCUGGGUUGGAUCGAGAAGGUGGUGCCCCACCCCCCAGAAGCCUCUCCCGUCCAUGUUGUCGUAGAGAAUGAACCAGAAAAGCCCCCCGCAGACACCAGGAGUUGGCUGGCCAGGCAGCUACCGGAACCACAACCGAACAGACUAACAGAAGGGAAGAAGCAAGAAGACUCCAAUGAUUCCCAUGAUUCUGGAUCAACACCAAGAAGCCCCGGCCGGGCCGUGGUGGCCUGGAUCUCGGAGGGCCUGGGGAGGGUCAUCCCGCAACCGGCCAGACCAGACAGCCCCCCCGCCCUGCCCGCCGUGGCCAAGAGUUUCGAGGCCAGCAUGGACAUCCCCGACGUGACCGAAGUCCAGGAAGUGAACGAUGAAGACGAGUUCGGAUUCGAGGUGACCGACCUGGACAACGAAGAUGAAGAAGAAAACAACCUGCAGUCCGUCUCCGAUCAGCAUCCAUUGGGACAAAUCGGAGGGAAGAAGGUGUUGACAUGGCUGGCGCAAGGCUUUGAGAAAAUGAUGCCGCAUCCAGGCUACGUGAAGUACUAUGCAGAGGUAAGUGGCGGAAACACCCUCUUAAAACAGCCACAAACACAUAGGAGAACCCUAUAGCAACAUGACCCUUGAGUAUGUUGGAUGAAAAGGUGUAUUAAUAUUAUUAAUAGACUAGCUGUGCCCGGCCACGCGUUGCUGUGGCGAAGUCUGGUGGUAUGGGAAAUAAAGUAUUGAGGAACUGGUGGUAGUUAAGGUAAAGGGUAAAGGUGUAGAGUCCAGAUAAUCCAGUUAAAGCAGAUAAUAUAUAAGAUUAUAUGGGUUAUAUAGCUCUGUGGAAGGGCCUUGAGUCUACACUACCGUCUAAUCCAGUUAAAAUAUGAUAAUCUGUAUUUUAUAGGCAGUGUGGAAGAGGCCUAAGUGAGGCCUAACUCUGCCUGUCCCCUGGGUGAGUGGGUUGCUAGGAGACCAAGUGGGCGGAGCUUAGCCUUCUAACUGGCAGCAAUUGGAUAAAAACAAUUAUUCCUCUCCCUCUAAUUAGGACUUUAUUUUUCUUUUCUUUUUGUUGUAUCAACCUAGAGGCAUGGAUGAUGGGUUGUGUUGUCAAUUUUUGAGGUUGUG